rnacentral:rRNA from 1 species
AGAGUUUGAUCCUGGCUCAGCGCGAACGCUGGCGGCACGCCUAACACAUGCAAGUCGUGGGGCAUCAGACCCUCCUUCGGGAGGGUGCUGGCGACCGGCAAACGGGUGAGUAACACGUGGGUAACCUACCCUCAGGAGGGGGAUAACCCCGGGAAACCGGGGCUAAUACCCCAUAACGCCAGGUGCCACUGAGGUAUCCUGGUUAAAGGGGGCCUCUGCUCGUAAGCUCCCGCCUGAGGAUGGGCCCGCGGCCUAUCAGGUAGUUGGUGGGGUAAUGGCCUACCAAGCCUGUGACGGGUAGCCGGCCUGAGAGGGUAGCCGGCCACAGCGGGACUGAGACACGGCCCGCACCCCUACGGGGGGCAGCAGUGGGGAAUCGUGGGCAAUGGGCGAAAGCCUGACCCCGCGAUGCCGCGUGCGGGAAGAAGCCCUUCGGGGUGUAAACCGCUGUCAGGAGGGACGAAGGGACCGUGGGCUAAUACCUCACGGUCUUGACGGUACCUCCAGAGGAAGGGACGGCUAACUACGUGCCAGCAGCCGCGGUAAUACGUAGGUCCCGAGCGUUGCGCGGAGUCACUGGGCGUAAAGCGUCCGCAGCCGGUUGGGUAAGCGGGAUGUCAAAGCCCGCCGCUUAACGGCGGAACGGCAUCCUGAACUGCCCAACUUGAGGCACGUCCGGGCAGGCGGAAUUCCCGGGGUAGCGGUGAAAUGCGUAGAUCUCGGGAGGAACACCGAAGGGGAAGCCAGCCUGCUGGGACUGUCCUGACGGUCAGGGACGAAAGCCAGGGGAGCGAACCGGAUUAGAUACCCGGGUAGUCCUGGCCGUAANCCNUNNCGCUAGGGCUCGUCCUUUUGGGCGGGCUCGCAGCUAACGCGUUAAGCGCCCCGCCUG